UACGGAGGAUGCGAGCGUUAUCCGGAUUUAUUGGGUUUAAAGGGUGCGCAGGCGGGCUUUUAAGUCAGCGGUGAAAUCUCGGGGCUUAACUCCGAAACUNCCGUUGAAACUGGGAGUCUUGAGUAUGGAUGAAGUAGGCGGAAUUCGUUGUGUAGCGGUGACAUGCUUAGAUAUAACGAGGAACUCCGAUUGCGUAGGCAGCUUACUAAGCCAUAACUGACGCUCAAGCACGAAAGCGUGGGGAUCAAACAGGAUUAGAUACCCUGGUAGUCCACGCCGUAAACGAUGAUUACUAGUUGUAUGCGAUAUACCGUAUGUGACUAAGCG
rnacentral:rRNA from 1 species